rnacentral:rRNA from 1 species
UACGGGGGGAGCAAGCGUUGUUCGGAUUUACUGGGCGUAAAGGGCGGGUAGGCGGCCACCGCAAGUCGACUGUGAAAUCUCCGGGCUUAACCCGGAAAGGUCAGCCGAUACUGCGGGGCUAGAGUGCAGAAGGGGGCAACUGGAAUUCUCGGUGUAGCGGUGAAAUGCGUAGAUAUCGAGAGGAACACCUGCGGCGAAGGCGGGUUGCUGGGCUGACACUGACGCUGAACUGCGAAAGCUAGGGGAGCGAACGGG